UACGGAGGAUGCAAGCGUUAUCCGGAGUGAUUGGGCGUAAAGCGUCCGCAGGUGGCUAUGUAAGUCUGCUGUUAAAGAGUGAGGCUCAACCUCAUAAGAGCAGUGGAAACUACGUGGCUAGAGUGCGUUCGGGGCAGAGGGAAUUCCUGGUGUAGCGGUGAAAUGCGUAGAGAUCAGGAAGAACACCGGUGGCGAAAGCGCUCUGCUAGGCCGCAACUGACACUCAUGGACGAAAGCUAGGGGAGCGAAUGGG
rnacentral:rRNA from 1 species